rnacentral:rRNA from 1 species
AUAUACCGUACCCGUACCGUAAACCGACACAGGUAGAUGAGGAGAGAAUCCUAAGGCCGACGGGAGAAGCAUUGUUAAGGAACUCGGCAAAAUGACCCCGUAACUUCGGGAGAAGGGGUGCCCACGCGAGUGGGCCGCAGAGAAUAGGCUCAAGCAACUGUUUAGCAAAAACACAGGUCUAUGCGAAACCGAAAGGUGAGGUAUAUGGGCUGACGCCUGCCCGGUGCUGGAAGGUUAAGAGGAGGAGUCAGGCAACGAAGCUCCGAAUUUAAGCCCCAGUAAACGGCGGCCGUAACUAUAACGGUCCUAAGGUAGCGAAAUUCCUUGUCGGGUAAGUUCCGACCCGCACGAAAGGCGUAAUGAUUUGAGCACUGUCUCGACAAUGCACCCGGUGAAAUUGAAGUACCAGUGAAGAUGCUGGUUACCUGCGCCAGGACGGAAAGACCCCAUGGAGCUUUACUCCAGUUUGAUACUGGGAUUCGAUACUGAAUGUACAGGAUAGGUGGGAGGCUGAGAAGCGUGGACGCCAGUCUGCGGUGAGCCGCUGUUGGGAUACCACCCUUUGAGUAUUGGAUUUCUAACCUGCGCCCGUGACCCGGGCGGGAGACAAUGUCUGACGGGGAGUUUGACUGGGGCGGUCGCCUCCGAAAGGGUAUCGGAGGCGCUCAAAGGUUCCCUCAGAAUGGUUGGAAACCAUUCGCAGAGUGCAAAGGCAGAAGGGAGCUUGACUGUGACACCGACGGGUGGAGCAGGUACGAAAGUAGGACUUAGUGAUCCGGUGGUAUGAAAGUGGGAUUGCCAUCGCUCAACGGAUAAAAGCUACCCUGGGAUAACAGGCUUAUCACUCCCAAGAGUUCACAUCGACGGAGUGGUUUGGCACCUCGAUGUCGGCUCAUCGCAUCCUGGGGCUGUAGCAGGUCCCAAGGGUUGGGCUGUUCGCCCAUUAAAGCGGUACGCGAGCUGGGUUCAGAACGUCGUGAGACAGUUCGGUCCCUAUCCGGCGCAGGCGUAGGAUAUUUGAGAGGAGCUGUCCUUAGUACGAGAGGACCGGGAUGGACAGACCGCUGGUGUAUCUGUUGGUGACCAACACCGUGGCAGAGUAGCCAAGUCUGGCAGGGAUAAACGCUGAAGGCAUCUAAGCGUGAAGCCCCCCUCAAGAUGAGAUAUCCCAAUAAGUAAGACCCCUUAGAGAGUAUGAGGUAGAUAGGCUUAAGGUGUAAGCAUAGUAAUAUGUUCAGCUGAUAAGUACUAAUAGGUCGAGGGCUUAUC